UCGCCUAUCAGUUUCAAAAUGAUCCUUGCUUGGUUCUAUGUUACUGGCAAUGAUAGAUUAACAUCACUGAAGCUUCAGCUAAAAUUUGCAAUAAGGUAACAGUCGUCAAUUCUUCUAAUAUAGUCUAUUUAAACAUUUGUGGGAAGCUUCGGUUAAACAUUCUAUGUACUAAUCCCAUUAUGUCGGCCGUUUCAACUUAAAACCCAGGGUUGGGUUUUAUUGAAUUGGGUUUUCCUUGACACCUGAUGCAACUCUUUUAUUGCCUGAACAAAGUCAAGAUCUUGAAUUGUUUUGGUGGAGCCUUUUGUCGGAGCUCUAAAACCAAAAUAUAAGAUUGAACUUCUUCCGUAAGAUUCACUUUUUCAUCCGGCCCGGUCAUGAUGGCGCCUCUCGUGAAGACAAGGUCAGC